rnacentral:rRNA from 1 species
AUUGAACGCUGGCGGCAGGCCUAACACAUUCAAGUCGAGCGAGCGGCGGACGGGUGAGUAAUGUCUGGGGAUCUGCCCGCUAGUGUGGGAUAACUACUGGACACGGUGGCUAAUACCGCAUACUAUCGGAUGAACCCAUAUGGGGUUAGCUAGUAGGUGGGGUAAAGGCUCGACUAGGCGCCGAUCGCUAGCUGGUCUGAGAGGAUGAUCAGCCACACUGGGACUGAGAGACGGCCCAGACGCCUACGGAAGGCAUCAGGGGGGAAUAUUGCACAAUGGGCUCAAGCCUGAUGCAGCCAUGCCGCGUGAAUGAAGAAGGCCUUCGGGUUGUAAAGUUCUUUCGGUAGCGAGGCGUUAACUACAGAAGAAGCACCGGCUAACUCCGUGCCAGCAGCCGCGGUAAUAC